UGAGAGUCCUGAAGGAACGUUGAAGACGACGACGUUGAUAGGCCGGGUGUGUAAGCGCAGCGAUGCGUUGAGCUAACCGGUACUAAUGAACCGUGAGGCUUAACCUUACAACGCCGAAG
rnacentral:rRNA from 1 species